GACGAACGCUGGCGGCGUGCUUAACACAUGCAAGUCGAACGGGUCUGCCCUGUUUUUUGCGGGGUGGGUCAGUGGCGAACGGGUGAGUAACACGUGAGUAACCUGCCCCUCACUUCUGGAUAACCGCUUGAAAGGGUGGCUAAUACGGGGUGUUCUGGCUGUGCCGCAUGGUGUGGCUGGGAAAGAUUCACUUUUGUGGUGUUUUGGUGGGGGAUGGGCUCGCGGCCUAUCAGCUUGUUGGUGGGGUGAUGGCCUGCCAAGGCUUUGACGGGUAGCCGGCCUGAGAGGGUGGGCGGUCACACUAGGACUGAGAUACGGCCCAGACUCCUGCGGGAGGCAGCAGUGGGGGGUAUUGCACAAUGGGCGGAAGCCUGAUGCAGCGACGUCGCGUGAGGGAUGGAGGCCUUCGGGUUGUGAACCUCUUUCGCCGGUGAAGAAGGUCCUGCUCUUUGGGGUGGGGUUGACGGUAGCCGGGUUAUGAAGCGCCGGCUAACUACGUG
rnacentral:rRNA from 1 species